rnacentral:rRNA from 1 species
UUGGAGGGCAAGUCUGGUGCCAGCAGCCGCGGUAAUUCCAGCUCCAAUAGCGUAUAUUAAAGUUGUUGCAGUUAAAAAGCUCGUAGUUGAAUUUCGGGGUUAGUAGGUUGGUCAUGCCUCUGGUAUGUACUGGUCUCACUGAUUCCUCCUUCCUGAUGAACCGUAAUGCCAUUAAUUUGGUGUUUCGGGGAAUUUGGACUGUUACUUUGAAAAAAUUAGAGUGUUUAAAGCAAGCUAACGCUUGAAUACAUUAGCAUGGAAUAAUGAAAUAGGACGUUCGAUCCUAUUUUGUUGGUUUCUAGGAUUGACGUAAUGAUUAAUAGGGAUAGUUGGGGGCAUUAGUAUUCAAUUGUCAGAGGUGAAAUUCUUGGAUUUAUUGAAGACUAACUACUGCGAAAGCAUUUGCCAAGGAUGUUUUCAUUAAUCAAGAACGAAAGUUAGGGGAUCGAAGACGAUCAGAUACCGUCGUAGUCUUAACCAUAAACUAUGCCGACUAGGGAUCGGAUGAUGUUAAUUUUUUAAUGACUCAUUCGGCGCCUUACGGGAAAC